CGGCCGCCAUCUUGGUCCAGCUGCUCCCCUCACUCCAGUUGCUCAGCCCGCCGCUGAGCACAGCCAAUCCGCGGCCGUCCACUCCCUGCUUCGGCCAAUCACCGAGCAGGCGGCCCGGAAGCUCGAGAGGCUCGUGCCAGGUAGGGGGCGAAGGCGAGGCCAGCCCACCAAGCAGGGGCGUCGCCAAGGGAAAGCCAAUCACCAUUAUUUCUGAAGGCCAAGGGGGCGGGACAAGAAGUCAACAGAAUGGUGGUGCUGCUGGAAAUCUAGCACCUGGGUAGAGACUGAGACUUGUGUAUCUAAUUGCCUAUUGGACACCCCCAUCUGGGUAAACCCAGGCAUCCAGAACUUUCCCUUAAGACUUACCUCCCUCAGUGCAGGUCGGGCUGGCCUCACACAUUUCGCUUGGAUGCCUAAAUCUGUCUCCACGUGGGGCCGGUCGAUAAGACAACACUUCCCAGAAUACGCUGCGAUCCAUUCGCGGUCUGCACCCGGAAACUACACCUCCCAGGGGUCUGUGCGCGCUGCCAGGGGACGGGUCUUGCGGCGUUGUGCCCCUCGAAGAGGAGAUGGCGGAGUCGUUGAGGUCUCCGCGCCGCUCCCUGUACAAACUGGUGGGCUCGCCGCCUUGGAAAGAGGCUUUCCGGCAGAGAUGCCUGGAGAGAAUGAGAAACAGCCGGGACAGGCUCCUAAACAGGUACCGCCAGGCUGGAAGCAGUGGGCCAGGGAAUGCUCAGAACAGCUUUCUAGUGCAAGAGGUGAUGGAAGAAGAGUGGAAUGCUUUGCAGUCAGUGGAGAAUUGUCCAGAAGACUUGGCUCAGUUGGAGGAGCUGAUAGACCUGGCUGUGCUGGAGGAAAUUCAACAGGAGCUGAUCAACCAAGAGCAGUCCAUCAUCAGCGAGUAUGAGAAGAGCUUGCAGUUUGAUGAAAAGUGUCUCAGCAUCAUGCUGGCUGAGUGGGAGGCAAACCCACUCAUCUGUCCUGUAUGUACAAAGUAAGAGUUUUUAAAACCUUUUCAGCAUUAUUCGUUCCCAUUCCCCACUCCAAGGUGAGUGGACUCUCCCCCCAGAUUUGUUGCCUGAAAAGGUUUGGAGAUCCAGGUCUGGUGGCCAUGAUGCUCUGGGAUCCUAAUUCUGCUUCUAGGUACAACCUGAGAAUCACAAGCGGUGUGGUGGUGUGUCAGUGUGGCCUGUUCAUCCCAUCUCAUUCUUCUGAGUUGACAGAGCAGAAGCUUCGUGCCUGUUUAGAAGGUAGUAUAAAUGAGCACAGUUCACAUUGUCCCCACACACCUGAAUUUUCAGUCACUGGAGGAUCAGAAGAAAAGUCCAGUCUUCUUAUGAGCUGUCUGGCCUGUGAUACUUGGGCUGUGAUCCUCUAGAGCCAGCUUGGACUCACAUCAUUCUAUAGGGUUGAAGACAACUCAUUCCCUCUGAGGAGCCUUGUACAUACAAGCCUUUUAUUUAUAACUUACUUUGUAUUGAAACUUUUAAACAAUACUGAAGAAAAAAAAACUUUUCCGACAUCUCUGUUCUUGGUCUUUUGUGACGCAGGUUGAAGGGGGAGGAAUAGAAAAAGACAAACUGCCUUGGAGGAGAUAAACCAAUUUUAUGUCUAUCGCGUUAUACAAAAAUCUAGAAAUAAUAGAUCUGUACAGAAAAAAUGAUAAUAAAUGAGAGCGCAAAAC
rnacentral:sRNA from 1 species